GGGUUGUGAGGUUAAGCGACUAAGCGUACACGGUGGAUGCCCUGGCAGUCAGAGGCGAUGAAGGGCGUGCUAAUCUGCGAUAAGCGCCGGUAAGGUGAUAUGAACCGUUAUAACCGGCGAUACCCGAAUGGGGAAACCCAGUGUGAUUCGUCACACUAUCAUUAACUGAAUCCAUAGGUUAAUGAGGCGAACCGGGGGAACUGAAACAUCUAAGUACCCCGAGGAAAAGAAAUCAACCGAGAUUCCCCCAGUAGCGGCGAGCGAACGGGGAGGAGCCCAGAGCCUGAAUCAGCAUGUGUGUUAGUGGAAGCGUCUGGAAAGGCGCGCGAUACAGGGUGACAGCCCCGUACACAAAAGCGCAUGUGCUGUGAGCUCGAUGAGUAGGGCGGGACACGUGGUAUCCUGUCUGAAUAUGGGGGGACCAUCCUCCAAGGCUAAAUACUCCUGACUGACCGAUAGUGAACCAGUACCGUGAGGGAAAGGCGAAAAGAACCCCGGCGAGGGGAGUGAAAAAGAACCUGAAACCGUGUACGUACAAGCAGUGGGAGCACCCUUUGGGGUGUGACUGCGUACCUUUUGUAUAAUGGGUCAGCGACUUAUAUUCUGUAGCAAGGUUAACCGAAUAGGGGAGCCGGAGGGAAACCGAGUCUUAACCGGGCGUUAAGUUGCAGGGUAUAGACCCGAAACCCGGUGAUCUAGCCAUGGGCAGGUUGAAGGUUGGGUAACACUAACUGGAGGACCGAACCGACUAAUGUUGAAAAAUUAGCGGAUGACCUGUGGCUGGGGGUGAAAGGCCAAUCAAACCGGGAGAUAGCUGGUUCUCCCCGAAAGCUAUUUAGGUAGCGCCUCGUGAAUUCAUCUCCGGGGGUAGAGCACUGUUUCGGCUAGGGGGCCAUCCCGGCUUACCAACCCGAUGCAAACUGCGAAUACCGGAGAAUGUUAUCACGGGAGACACACGGCGGGUGCUAACGUCCGUCGUGAAGAGGGAAACAACCCAGACCGCCAGCUAAGGUCCCAAAGUCAUGGUUAAGUGGGAAACGAUGUGGGAAGGCCCAGACAGCCAGGAUGUUGGCUUAGAAGCAGCCAUCAUUUAAAGAAAGCGUAAUAGCUCACUGGUCGAGUCGGCCUGCGCGGAAGAUGUAACGGGGCUAAACCAUGCACCGAAGCUGCGGCAGCGACACUCAGGUGUUGUUGGGUAGGGGAGCGUUCUGUAAGCCUGUGAAGGUGGCCUGUGAGGGUUGCUGGAGGUAUCAGAAGUGCGAAUGCUGACAUAAGUAACGAUAAAGCGGGUGAAAAGCCCGCUCGCCGGAAGACCAAGGGUUCCUGUCCAACGUUAAUCGGGGCAGGGUGAGUCGACCCCUAAGGCGAGGCCGAAAGGCGUAGUCGAUGGGAAACGGGUUAAUAUUCCCGUACUUGGUGUUACUGCGAAGGGGGGACGGAGAAGGCUAUGUUGGCCGGGCGACGGUUGUCCCGGUUUAAGCGUGUAGGUGUGUGUUCCAGGUAAAUCCGGUUCACUUUAACACUGAGGCGUGAUGACGAGGCACUACGGUGCUGAAGCAACAAAUGCCCUGCUUCAAGGAAAAGCCUCUAAGCAUCAGGUAACAUCAAAUCGUACCCCAAACCGACACAGGUGGUCAGGUAGAGAAUACCAAGGCGCUUGAGAGAACUCGGGUGAAGGAACUAGGCAAAAUGGUGCCGUAACUUCGGGAGAAGGCACGCUGACAUGUAGGUGAAGUGAUUUACUCAUGGAGCUGAAGUCAGUCGAAGAUACCAGCUGGCUGCAACUGUUUAUUAAAAACACAGCACUGUGCAAACACGAAAGUGGACGUAUACGGUGUGACGCCUGCCCGGUGCCGGAAGGUUAAUUGAUGGGGUCAGCGCAAGCGAAGCUCCUGAUCGAAGCCCCGGUAAACGGCGGCCGUAACUAUAACGGUCCUAAGGUAGCGAAAUUCCUUGUCGGGUAAGUUCCGACCUGCACGAAUGGCGUAAUGAUGGCCAGGCUGUCUCCACCCGAGACUCAGUGAAAUUGAACUCGCUGUGAAGAUGCAGUGUACCCGCGGCAAGACGGAAAGACCCCGUGAACCUUUACUAUAGCUUGACACUGAACAUUGAGCCUUGAUGUGUAGGAUAGGUGGGAGGCUUUGAAGUGUGGACGCCAGUCUGCAUGGAGCCGGCCUUGAAAUACCACCCUUUAAUGUUUGAUGUUCUAACGUGGACCCGUGAUCCGGGUUGCGGACAGUGUCUGGUGGGUAGUUUGACUGGGGCGGUCUCCUAAAGAGUAACGGAGGAGCACGAAGGUUGGCUAAUCUGGUCGGACAUCAGGAGGUUAGUGCAAUGGCAUAAGCCAGCUUGACUGCGAGCGUGACGGCGCGAGCAGGUGCAGCAGGUCAUAGUGAUCCGGUGGUUCUGAAUGGAAGGGCCAUCGCUCAACGGAUAAAAGGUACUCCGGGGAUAACAGGCUGAUACCGCCCAAGAGUUCAUAUCGACGGCGGUGUUUGGCACCUCGAUGUCGGCUCAUCACAUCCUGGGGCUGAAGUAGGUCCCAAGGGUAUGGCUGUUCGCCAUUUAAAGUGGUACGCGAGCUGGGUUUAGAACGUCGUGAGACAGUUCGGUCCCUAUCUGCCGUGGGCGCUGGAGAACUGAGGGGGGCUGCUCCUAGUACGAGAGGACCGGAGUGGACGCAUCACUGGUGUUCGGGUUGUCAUGCCAAUGGCACUGCCCGGUAGCUAAAUGCGGAAGAGAUAAGUGCUGAAAGCAUCUAAGCACGAAACUUGCCCCGAGAUGAGUUCUCCCUGAGACUUUAGGUCUCCUGAAGGAACGUUGAAGACGACGACGUUGAUAGGCCGGGUGUGUAAGCGCAGCGAUGCGUUGAGCUAACCGGUACUAAUGAACCGUGAGGCUUAACCUUACAACGCCGAAG
rnacentral:rRNA from 1 species